GCAUUUCCUAUUAUGACAACAUGCAUUUCUCAACAUACAUCUUAUAUGAUCAUUACUUGGCACAUAUUACAUGCAUUACUUAACAUCUAUCACAUGCAUUCAUUUCUUAGCAUCUUUAUCAUGGCAUUGUAUACAUUUAUUAGCAUCAUUAUGGUGCAUUCUUACUUAACAUUCUUAUUAUGCAUUCUUACUUAACAUUCUUAUCAUGCAUCAAUAGUGAAACACACUACACUUUGGCAUGAAGGCGACCUAGUCGCUUCGGUAAGCACAACCCACCUUUUAACGCUUUCCGAUUGCUUGUCGUCACUUGCAAUCGGCCUCCCGCGGCACCCGUGACCCGGUUUGGCCCGAACUCUUGCGCGACCACCCGAACGGCCACCAAUCCGCGAUCCGUCUGUUCGGGAGUUUAUUCCCCGACAUCGCGAUGCUCCCGAUCCAUUUUCAUGAUUUUUGGAGGCUUAUCCCGCGUGCUGCGGCUAUCUGUACCAAAACAGAUUGUUUCGUCAAUAACUUCGCGUACACUCGUCGGAUUGUCGAACCGAGCGCACCAACGCGUUCGUUAUACCCCCAAUUAGGUUUGUAUAGGGUCAAUUGAGAUCAAAACCCCUCACAAGUAAAAGCCCUCUUUUUGGAGCCCUAGAUGCAAUUAUAGCAAAAUACUCCAAUUCAUCUCAUGAAUCAAGCAUAAACCAUCUAUUUAGCAUGCUAAGAUUCCAUUAAAAUCAUCUUUAGAGUAUAAGAACUUAACCCUAAAGAUCUACCAUUAAAGCUCCAAGAAGCUUACCUCAAGAAGCUUGCUCCAAGGUGAAGAAGAAGAUGAUGGAGGGAAGCUCUCCACUUGCUUCACCUUCUUUUCCUUUUCUUCUUCUUCUUUCUCUUCUUCUUCUUCUCUUCUCCUUUCCUUUCUAGAGAGAGAGAGGGAGAGUUUUGGGGGUGAAAUGAUAAGGGAAAGAGAGAAAGAGAGGUUCUAAUCCUCUCUAUACACUCAACUCAUGCACAAAAUGCCAACAAGUCCCUCAACAAUCCUCUUCUUGCAUCAGCCCAAACUGGGCAUUUUCGGGGUUCUGAGACCGGUCCUUGCGGUGAGAGACCGGUCCCCGAAAGGCCAGAAUUCCAGACUUAGCCAAUUUUUCAGCAUUUUCAGCCUUUAUCCUUUUUCACUCCGUUUUCGCUCGUUUUCGCUCGUUUGACCUCCGUUUCUUUUCAAAUCGAACCGAGACUCUCCAAACAUGUUUUCAAACAUGUUUUCAUCAUCUUUUCAUCCACGCUAAUGCCGGAUUUAGUCCAUGGUCCAACAUAGCCUUUCGGGUCCCGUUUUCGCGCCCUAUGCGCACCGAAGCACCCGAAUGCUCCCGAACUUCGCCGGAAUGAUUCCAAUGGCUUUCUAAGCUAACAUACAUCGUAACUUCAUGAAUUAGAAGUUCGGUAUAUUACAUUCUCCACCCCUUAAAAAGAGUUUCGUCCGCGAAACUCAAACCACACCUCAAUUCAGCUCCUCGAGCAAUUGAGGGCACUAAUGCACUUUUACACUUCGGAAGGGCUUUACACUCUUUGGAACUAUCCAAGAGGACUACUACGGAGCUCAUGAUACCAAACGCAUCCAACUUUGCAAGGCACAUCUCACAAAGUGCAUUACGGUCUCCGUCACUCUAGGGGAUAGCGCAAGUCGAAACUCGACGACUCUACGCGCUCCAACACCACUUGCACUCGGCACACACAAAGAACUCUUCUUUGCAUUUACUUCCCCUUCAGGGAAUGCGUUCCAAAUCAAUCACCGACAUUGCCUAAAAGCAAUAUCAUCGGUGCAUCGCUUCAUCGUAAGUGCUCUAAUUCCGCACUAAACUUUAACUUUGACGUGAGAUGGCCCACCUCGGCGCAUCCCAAUUCCAAUCCUCGAACUCCACGUGGCUUGCCAUUAGCUCAAGGUUUCACCAAGAGCACUUCAUCACCUGAUACCAUAUGCCACGAUCAACAUCACAUCACUUUCGCAACAACUCACACGAACACUUCGUUCGUGAAUUCAAGUCAAACUCCUCGAUAAGGCUACCUGCCAAAUCGCUUUCCUCGGUCUUCAUUGGUGGUCCAAAGGCCACCAAUACUACGUAGGCCCACAGCCUAAACCUGUCUCAAUAUACGCGCAGCGCCUCUCGCUCGCAAGCGUAGACCCAAUCAUCACUGGGGCGAAAUUCUCACUUGGGAAUUCGCACACACUCCAACCAGGAGCAACUAAAAUCCCAAACCAUUACAAAUCCUUGGGUUGGGUCACAAUCGUACUCUCGGUAUUCUCUCAAUCGCAUUACACGCUCUAUCGAGCAAUGCGUGUCACUACCGGCUCCUAUGCACCUAGUGCGAGCCACUAGCCCCACGAGUGAUUCAUGGCACACUUCACACCGGGCAAUGCCCAAGUGCUAUUGCCAACAAACUCACUCGGCCGAUCCAUAUUCGCACUCCACGAGUACCUAUACUCGAGCGUUAUACGCUACAAUAGCGUGCUACCAUAAGCCUGGGUCUUGGGCAAUCUUGCCCCAGCACAAUGCAACCGGUCUCACCCAGAGGGACCGGUCUCUCGGGGACCGGUCUCUCCCGCAGGGACCGGUUCCCGAGAGCUUGUUUUCUGGGACUUAGCCAAUUUUUCUCCUCUGCUGGGCUUCUCACGCGUUCGGGGACCGGUCUCUCCAGCAGGGACCGGUCCCCGAGAGCCCAAAAACUGCAGUUUGCAGAUUUUGAUUCUUAAGCUCUCGAAAACCUCCCACAAUGCACUUUUACUCAUUCUAACGCCUUCGGUCUUUCCGAAGCAUAGCAACCUCGCACUUCGGUCAAUUUGACUAAAGUUCGACAUUUACUUUCCGAAUUCUUCGGCAUAUCACAUUCUUGGUCCUUACUAUACUACUACAUAGAUAGUAGUAAUUAACUAUAUGCUCAAUGCAUGUGACGCUCCAACUUUACAUCAUGCCGAAACACAUAACUGCAUGAAUAACUCAUACCUGCCACGACGUCGUCAGCAGCAGGUCCCACAAGCUGGGUCGCGUGUCCAUAGCCACUUGGCGCCCGCCGCGGACCCCUCGGUUGCAUCACUGUCAUCGCUCGCUCUCCCGACCGUGCCGCAGGUGGCACACCCGCCGGCUGUCCCGGAGAGGAAAAAGCCGUCGCCAACACUAAGGCCCGGCUAUCACCUUGCGGACACUCAUCCCGCAUAUGGCCUGGCUGCCCACAACGGAUACAUCUUCCAUCACGCAGCGCACACCGCCGCGCCUGGUGGGUACCACCACAAAUCACACAACCUGGGGAGGAUCGAGUAGAGGACGUCUUCGAGUGGCGCCUAGAACUUGACUGCCCACCCGAACUGUUCGACAAUUGCCUCACCCCUCCCCGCUCAUGCUUAUGAGAUUCGCGCUCCUCAUGCACGAAAGCCUCGCCAUGCUCUGCCCACAAUGCUCGGUCCAACACCUCCGCGAAGGUUGUGAGCUUGAGGAUUUGCACCUUCUCGUAAAUAUCUGGUCGAAGUCCACGUAAGAACCAAUCGGCCAUAUCCUUGUCAUCCCGUACCACAUCCGGGACACAAUUCACGAUACGGGAAAACUCCCGUUCGUACUCCCGCACUGAGCGGUCUCCUUGACGCAGCUUCCUGAACCUGUCCUGAAGCUUUCGCUUUUCACUGUCGGGGAAGUAAGCUGAGAAUACCAAUCCCCGAAACUCAUCCCAUGCCAUAGGAGGAAGACUAGGCGAUCGGUUCCGCCGAAUGCCUUUCCACCACACCUUCGCCGAUUGCUUCAAGCAAUGCACGGCUAGGGGUACCUUGUCCCGCUCCAAUGUGUACAGCUCCUCAAAGAGCGUUUCCAUGGAGUCAAUCCACAUAUCCACAAUCCAGGGAUCGACAUUCUCUCCAUCGAAGGUAGGCGGAUCAAACUUUACGAAGGUCAUGAGGGCCGCCAAAGCCCGCUCUUUCUCCGCCUCCGCCAAUGCACUUUCGGGAGUCGGAUCGCCCGACCCCGACGGAACCAUCUCUGCUGCAAGCCCUGCCCGUCCUCGACGAGCCGCAACUGGCGCAGCCACUAGCUGCUCCACGGUCUCUUGGAGUCUCUUGAUCCGUUCUUCCUGGCGCAUAGCAGCCUCCUGCUGACGCUGCACUACGCCCACAAGCAUUCCCAACUGUUCACGGAGCUCCGAGUUUCCUCUCGCUCCGGAUUGCUCAGGAACAUCACUUGUCCCAUCCCGCGUCGAUCUAGCCGAAGAUCGCCUACGCGGUGCCAUCGUUCCCUGACACAUGACAACUCGAUUAAUUCUCAACCUUCGAGGUCGAGUACAAAACAUUUAACAUUGACUCAAAUCGGGCGAAAGUUAUACAAGGGCGUCUAUUCUCAUCACUCGGUUUCAUGUUGUCGUACGCCCAACAUGAACACACUCGGUUGAGAAUAAACCACACCUUGAAUCUACCUCUAACAUCCAUUAUAGAGGUUUACCACAUAACCCAAUCAUUAACCUUUCGCCACAAGUCACCAGUCCUCGUCUCUCACGAGCCUUAAUCUCCUAUGGUUUACUAUCCUAGGGUCUCCUAGGUCAAGCUAAACCAUUUUCUUUAAACUCUUUUAUGUUCUUUUUAUGUUCUCUCUAUGUUCUUUUUAUGUUCUUUUUAUGCUCUGAUACCAUCUUAUCUGUCACGCCCCGAGCCCGCCUCUUUGGUCGGAUUCGGGCACGCCAACAGACCGCCGAACGGACAGGGUUUCCCCUGUACCGCGGACAGAGUCUCCCCUGUACGUUCAAGGCGUCGCAAUCAAUACAAUGUACGAAGUUCCAACCAGGAACACAUUUCAAGCAAAGAUUGCAUAAGGAAGUAUCAAAAACAUAAAUCUACUUGCUAUUACAAGCAUUCACAUUCAUACAUUUUUACAUCACAAUUCUCAUUUGAUUCUUACAUUAGCUUUCACUUAACUUCCAAAUACAAUCCGAUUUUAACAUAGUUAUUACAACAUUGUUCUUACAAUUAUCACAUUUUUGGUUCUUUGCAUUUUAUACCCCUAAGAAGCCGACUCAGGGUGCUGCUAUCUGGUCUCAGUGGUAGGGCGCUAACUACGGAGCUACGCCCUUUCCUCGCGCCGCCGCGCCGCUCGCGUGUGAACCUGUAAAACCCCGAAACAACGUGGGGUGAGAACUAACUCCAUAGUUCCCAGUGGGUACGGCCACCCAAGGGAAGAGCUCGACCAUCAGGUCAAAGGAGGCAAACAACAUGUUAGUCCAAUAGAUAGAUAUGAAAUCAUAAAUCAUGCAACUAACAUUACCAUGCUUUUGCCUCACAACAUGCAAUAUGCAAAUUAUGCAACUCAUAUAGUAGAUUAAUUGCUUCUACACUUUAUUCUUAUCCAUUCUUUACUUUUACUCAUUCUUUACUUUACUAGCUAUUCUUUAGCAUUAACCCUUCUUUAUUCUUUAUUACUUGUCAUUCUUUAGCAUUAGCCUUUUCUUAUUCUUGAUUCUUCAUUCUUUAUUCUUUACGCUUUACUAAGGGUACUCACACCUUAGUAAUAUUAUACACAUUAGCCUUUCUUUCCUAAGGUUACUUUACCUUAGCCAACUUUGCCAUCCGACUCGGUCUUGAGUCAAUCAACUGCGGAUAGUCCGCGCUCUGUCCGGCUCGAGGUGAAGGAACUCUCACAUGCACCUCAGCCUUCAAUCACAAACCACAUCGCCCAACGGGUCGCCCAGAGCUGCGUACACCCGUGGUCAGGGAUCCCCCGGUGGGAGAGGAACAUGCCGCAUACACCCGCAGCCGAGAUCCCCGAUAGGGAGAGGAACAUGCCACAUGCACCCUAGCGCUCAUUGUUCUUGCUCAUUAACAAGCCUCGAAGUUCUUCCGGUGGGAGAGGAACACGCCACAUGCACCCGCGGCCAAGAACUAUCGAGCUUGUAUGCUGCACUAGCAGCCGCUGCACUAGCAGCAGGGAUUCCGGAAUCCACUUUACAUUACUCAAGGGUUGGUCUCACCCUAUGUUAUCGACCUAUCUAGGUCCAAGCCUUUACUCAACCUAAGUUAAUACAUUAGGUUCAAUGUCAUUAUCUUCUUAGCCUAGGUUCAUUGACACUAGGUCCAACAUUCUUUAUCACCUAAGUUCAUUUGACUCUAGGUUCUAUAUCAUUACAUUUACAACCUAGGUUUAUUUGACUCUAGGUUCAAUGCCACUCAUGUUCUUGUUUUCCUAGUUGUCCACACCUAGGAAUUAUACUUGACAUGCCACUCGUGAAUAACCUAUGUUCAUCGACACUAGGUUCAUUAUUACUUUUGUUUAACCUAUGUCCUUGACACUAGGUUCAAUGCCACUCGAUCUAUAGGUGCAUUUAUGUCAACUUACACACAUCCUUUACUUAGCAUUCUUAUCUUAUCAUUAUGCAUGCUUUCUACUUUAUGUCAUUUUAACAUAUUCUCACAAUAUGGAUCAUACAUUUAGCUCAUAUGUUUACUUAACAUACAUCUCAACAUGCCUUUAACAUUUUACUCAUGCUUCAUCAAACAUUUCUAUAACAUGUCACAAGCAUUAGCUUAGUGUUCUUACAUUAUGUCAAUAUGCAUACUUUUAGCAUUUCCUAUUAUGACAACAUGCAUUUCUCAACAUACAUCUUAUAUGAUCAUUACUUGGCACAUAUUACAUGCAUUACUUAACAUCUAUCACAUGCAUUCAUUUCUUAGCAUCUUUAUCAUGGCAUUGUAUACAUUUAUUAGCAUCAUUAUGGUGCAUUCUUACUUAACAUUCUUAUUAUGCAUUCUUACUUAACAUUCUUAUCAUGCAUCAAUAGUGAAACACACUACACUUUGGCAUGAAGGCGACCUAGUCGCUUCGGUAAGCACAACCCACCUUUUAACGCGUUCCGAUUGCUUGUCGUCACUUGCAAUCGGCCUCCCGCGGCAUCCGUGACCCGGUUCGGCUCGAACUCUUGCGCGACCACCCGAACGGCCACCAAUCCGCGAUCCGUCUGUUCGGGAGUUUAUUCCCCGACAUCGCGAUGCUCCCGAUCCAUUUUCAUGAUUUUUGGAGGCUUAUCCCGCGUGCUGCGGCUAUCUGUACCAAAACAGAUUGUUUCGUCAAUAACUUCGCGUACACUCGUCGGAUUGUCGAACCGAGCGCACCAACGCGUUCGUUAUACCCCCAAUUAGGUUUGUAUAGGGUCAAUUGAGAUCAAACUCAACUAUUUACAAAAACCCCUUUUUGGAGCCCUAAAUGCAAUUAUAGCAAAAUGCCCCAUUUCAUCUCAUGAAUCAAGCAUAAACCAUCUAUUUAGCAUGCUAAGAUUCCAUUAAAAUCAUCUUUAGAGUAUAAGAACUUAACCCUAAAGAUCUACCAUUAAAGCUCCAAGAAGCUUACCUCAAGAAGCUUGCUCCAAGGUGAAGAAGAAGAUGAUGGAGGGAAGCUCUCCACUUGCUUCACCUUCUUUUCCUUUUCUUCUUCUUCUUUCUCUUCUUCUUCUUCUCUUCUCCUUUCCUUUCUAGAGAGAGAGAGGGAGAGUUUUGGUGUGGGAGAGUGAGAGAAAUGAGGGAAAGAGAGAAAGGAUCCUCUCUAUACACUCUCAUAAGUGCCAUUUUGCACUUAAGCCCCUCCACAAUGCUUCCCUCGCAACAGCCCAAACUGGGCAUUUUCGGGGUUCUGGGACCGGUCCUUGCGGUGAGAGACCGGUCCCCGAAAGGCCAGAAUUCCAGACUUAGCCAAUUUUUCAGCAUUUUCAGCCUUUAUCCUUUUUCACUCCGUUUUCGCUCGUUUUCGCUCGUUUGACCUCCGUUUCUUUUCAAAUCGAACCGAGACUCUCCAAACAUAUUUUCAAACAUGUUUCAUCAUCUUUUCAUCCACGCUAAUGCCGGAUUUAGUCAACGGUCCAACAUAGUCUUUCGAGUUCCGUUCUCGCGCCCUAUGCGCACCGAAGCACCCGAAUGCUUCCGAACUUUGUCGGAAUGAUUCCAAUGGCUUUCUAAGGUAACAUACAUCGUAACUUCACGAAUUAGAAAUUCGGUAUAUUACACGCGAGGUAGAUCCUUACCUUUCCUGGUCACUGUGCUAGAGGAGUUCCCCCCUUCAGAGGUAGUUUUGAGAUGUUACCAUGUACAUACAGAUAUGUUUUGUUGUACGCUCUGGAUCGAGGUUGUACUUUGGAUAUUGUAUGUAUAGUGAGCUUAUUAUGUUUAUAUAUGUAUUUAGCUUUAGCAGCUCUGUACUCCUUUUGUAGCUAUCUUCUGCUUACAGGUUCAGCUAUCGCUUCAUAUACAUAGGAAAUUUCUUUGCAUACGGCGGGUCUGUUGGCGAACCCGGAAAAACAUAGUAAUCCGAGGCGUGACACUGGACCUAUUUGAAAUAAUGAUAAAGCAUAGGAAAGUAGUUGAUAUAAUUUUUUAUGCAGGGGUAAUUGAGAAAACUGUUAAAGUGCAAAGAGACUUUUUAUAAUAGAGCCUAAAAUAAAGAAAUAUACGGGUUCAUGGAGGCCCUCAAUUGUUCGCCAAGUUGAAUAGGAUUUUUAUUUAAUUAAAUUUCUUAGAUUAUUUCUAGCAAAUGAAUUACUAGUGGAAUUAUUAAAUUUAACUAUAGUUUUAAGUUAAAUAAUUAGAAUAAUUCAAUUUUAAAAGAUUAAAAGUUAAUAAUAUAUUAAUAAAAUUGAGGAAGUUAGCUCAAAAUAACCUAGAGUUAAAGGGGCCUCCAUAUAGUUUUUUCUUUAUAAAAUUAAAAUCUAUUUUGAUAAGUAUAUUAAGAAGUUAUGUACAAAAAAAAUAAUUUUUGAAAAUUAUCAGCUAGGUUUCAGACAACUCCAGAAUUAAAUAAAAGAAAACCUUCUACAAAUAAAAUUAUUACUCUUUGAUAUGUAAAAUUAACAUAUUUAAAUAAAGUUGUAAAAAUAUUUGUAUAUAGUGCACAUAAUAAUUUAAUUUGUCACAUUACCAGACUAGUUGUUAACAGUUUAGUGUAACCAUAAUUUAAAUACAAUUUAUCUAUUUAGUUUGUAUAAUUAUAAAGAAGAAAAAUUACCGUAGAGUAGGAGUUAUUUCACUAUAUGCAUUUAGGGGCUUUUUGAUUAUUUGGAAAAAUAUGAAAAAAAAAUUUUAAGAAAUUUUUUUUAUCUGAAAUGUCGUUUCUUUAGUUUUUCGUAUGUUUGAUUCUAAGGAAAAUAACUUUUAUGAAAAACUUUUUUUUCCAUAUAUUAUGAAAAAAAAAAACUAGUAUUUAUAAUUUUCUAAAAAGAAUUUAGGAAAUGAAAAUAUUAGUUUUUCAUGAAAUACGAAAAAAAGAUUUUAAAAAAUUCUUGUUUUCUUUCAAACCAGAGAGGAAAAUUGGAAAAGGAGUUCUUAUGAAAAAAAAUUUUCUUAAAAGGUUUUCUUUUUCACACUUUUUCGAGAAAACAAACAGGCAAACAGUUCUCUGGACAUUGUCCUAAUACUUUGCUUUUUUUGCAUUUAGCCCCUCAAAACAUUUUAUUUUGUAAAUAAUACUAUUAAAAUUAUAAAUACAGAAAUGGCCCUAUAUAUAUUGUGUAUGUAGACGCGACAAGAAAUAUUUUAACUAAAUAUAGUGAUUCAUUCAUCGUGUUUAGAAUACGGUAAUUCAUUUAACGUGGUUAGUUAAAUAACAUAAUGUAUUUUAAAACUAGAAUGUAAGCCUCUUUCUUUCCGGAUCCAUAGAAAUAUACUAUUUGACAGUUCUAUAUGCUUACGUGACACAAUUUCCUUUUUUACGAAUAGAAAAUUAGCUUUCAGAUUUUUUUUUUUAUCCUUCUUGGCUCCUUCCAAGAAUCUUAGCUUCUUCCCAAGAAAAAUUAGUUCUUUACAUAUUUUUUUUCAUUCUCUUUGGCUCUUUUUCAAAAAUUUUGGCUCCUUCCCAAGAAAAAUUAGCUCUUUACAGAUUUUUUCACUCUUUAGCUCUUUUUCAAAAAUUUUGGCUCCUUCCCGAGAUUGGACCUGAACCAAAAUAUUUGAGAUUUUUUAAGCUAUUCACGAGGUCCCCCAGCUGGACACAGGUGCUCUAUGUUUCUCUUUCUUUCCUCCUCUCCCAUGCUUUCUCUCUCCUUUCUCUUCUCUAUUAGCCUCUCUCUCUCUCUCUCUCUCUCGCGCACGGCCCCGCCGACCACCUUGAUGACGUGGACUCCGAAGGGGCGGAGCUCGAGGGCAGCGCGUCGGUGGCGGCGUAGGCCGCGGCCUUCGAGGCGCAAUACGCGCCGGCCCACGGCGUGGCGACGCGGCCCACCACGCGCCUGCUCCGGCGCGCCACCAUGUGCGGCGCCAUGGCGCGCACGAGCCGCAGCUGCUCGAGCGAGUUCACCUCCCAGGCGUGGCGCACCGCGGCCCACCACGCCCCCACCCCGGCGUUGUUUGGUGGCAGCAGCGGCCACGGAGGCUGCGGCGGGGGCCGCGGGGGCGUCGAGGGCGGAUAUGUCCGCCGCCAAGGGGAGGGCGGCGUCAAGUGACUUGGGCGGUGGAUGCUGCGGACAGCGCCGGCUUGGGGCAGCUUCAAGCGGUGUUGGGCGACGUCGGCGGCGGGCACGGCAGCGGAAGGCGCCGGCUUGGGGCGGCUCCGAGCGGCGACGGCGGUGGGACGCGGCUCGGGUGGCGUCGGCGGCGGACGCGGCAGCGGACGACGUCGGUCUUGAGGCGGCUUCAGGCGACGUCGGCGGCGGCACGGCAGCAGCAGACAAAAUAAGGGGAAAAGAAGGCAUUAGAUAGAUAAUUGAUAGUGGACAUCAAUAUGCACUCCGUGACUAUACAACAUACUUAUAAUGUUUCAUGUAAGAGAUUAGUGAGUGACCAAUAAAUGUUGAGGUCAUUUUAUUCGGUACUUUGAUGUUAAAUACAGAGUCAAAAACUAAUCUCAAAGAAGUCCUACCUCAUUUGUUGUAGUUUAAUUUUAAAUAAAUUUCUAAUAUAAAUAAUUUUUAUUUUUUAAUAUUUUUUUGUUAUUAUUUAUUAAUUAUUAUUGUAUAUUUAUUGUUUUUUUUUUUCCUGCAGCUGCCCGAGCGCGUUCACCUCCCAGACGUGGCGCACUGCAGCGAGGCUCAGCUCGGCGAGCGGGCCCGUGCACCCCACCCCAGCGUUGUUGGGUGGCAGCAGCGGCCACGGAGGCCGCGGCGGGGGCCGCGGGGGCGUCGAGGGCGGAUAUGUCUGCCGCCAAGGGGAGGGCCAGCGCGGGUGGAGAGCAAAAUCUUAUUUACCCUUAAAAAAAAAGAGAAAAAGAAAAAAAGUGAGGCCUAAAUUAUAACUUUACAAUUUCUUAUUUGUUUUUAUUGUUUUUAUUUAUGAUAUUAUGUUUUUUUUAUUAUUUUUUCUUAAUAGGAAAGCUUAAAAUAUUUUUUUUAUAAUAAAUAGUAUUAUUAUCUAAGUGAAUCUCUGAAUUUUUUUUUCUACUUUAAUUUUUGUUUUUUCUCGCAAUUUUUCUAGAGCGUAUGAUCCAUUUUUACUUUAUUUAAUCUUAAUUUUUUUUAACCAUAGUGUAAGAAAAAAAAUACAAUAUCUAUGUUUUUUUUUUUAAAUAGAAAUGAUCACAUGCUCCAUAAUUUUUUCUGGGCAUAUAUUCUUCUUUUUAAACAUCUUUUUGUUUACUUUUUUUAACUAUAAAUUUUUUUAUUUUUUUUUUUCUAUUUAAUUGUUUCAUUAUAAUUUUACUUAACUAUGAUAUGAUAUAAAAUUAAUCGUUAAUUUAAUUGUUAACCGCAGCGAAGCGCGGGUUCUAUACUAGUGCUAUUUAAAGUACAGUAAUUCAUUCAUCGUGUUUGGAAUAUGGUGAUUCAUUUAACGUGGUUAGUUAAAUAAGAUAAUGUAUUUUAAAACUAGAAUGUAAGCCUCUUUCUUUCCGGAUGCUAUUUAAAAUACGGUGAAUGAAUCAUUGUAUUCUAAAUAUGGUGAAUCACCGUGUUAAUUUAAAAACUUUAUUUUUAUUAAAAAGGAUGAUCACAGGCUUAUAUAUCAAAGACGAGCGACAGUUGUUCUUGAUGAAAAAUUCAAAAUUUUUCAAUAAUUAUUAUUUUUAAUUCAUUAAUUAUUUUAUAUUUUAUUAUUUAAUUUAUUAUUUUUAUUGCGAAGUGGGCGCGGACGUUCCACAAUGGAACAUUGCGCAACGUUCCUUUUCUUCUUCACCCCUGCUUUUAUAGUGGACUCCACUGUCCAUGGGUUUCUAGAACACAUGACAGUGAGCCAUCGUUAUGUACUGUUCACAGAGAUGAACAUGUUAGAGGGAAAAAAAGAGAAAAGAAUUUUUUAUUUUUAUUUUUAUUUUAUUUUAUUUGAUAUCUUUAUCGCUCGGUGUCGAAAGAAGCUCCGCCAACCUCUUCCGCGUUCGUGUCUGUAGGAGGAGGAAUUUCGAUCAUACCUUGGGACGGUGUUUUCGGUUAAUCCCACACAAAAGACCGAAAUACGUCUUAGGGUAGUGCCUCGCACGCUUCUGGAUCAAUUGUUUGCUAUUCUUCUUCCACAAUUUUUUUUUAGAAUUUAACGAUCAUCUGUAAGUUGAUUUAUUUAAUUUUCAUCACAAUUUAGUUACAUUUUAAUUACAAUCGAAUUUUUCAUUCCGAUUUUCCUCAACAGUUCUUAGGAAAUAGUUUGUUCUUAGGAAACAAAACAUCAUGUUCACAGGCGGCGCGGUUUGGCCUUGCUCUGCAUUAGUCUCUUGCUUUGUAUGGUUCAUGAAUGACAUGGUAGACUAGUUUGGUAGAACCAAUUUUUUUAGGGCUUUUUUGCAUUUAGCCCCUCCUAAGAAUUUUUAUUUUCACAAAUAGUCCUAUAAAAUUUAUAUUUACAAGAUUGGCUCUAUUUCUGCCAGGCAAGCACCACGCAAAGGCCACGUAAGCGUAGAUGGUGAUGUAGAUUAAGUUGAACACGGUGAACCAUUCACUGCGUUUUAUUAUUUUCCUACCAUGGUAUUAAAUAUUAUUUAAGGUUAGGAUUUAGGAAUGACACGGUGAAUUAACACCGUGUCCAACUUAACCAACACGGUGAAUGAUUCACCUUGUUUAAUUAACAAAGACUGCCACGCACUAAUAGCACUCGCGUGGCACUUGUGUGGCAGGAAUAUGGCCAAUCUUAUAAAUACAAAUUUUAUAAGGUUAUUUGUGAAAACAAAAAAUUAGGGGCUAAAUACAAAAAAAAAGUUUUUUUUUUUUAUUACUGUCGUCCCUUGUGUAAGGAUGUAAAGAGCCACCCGGCUCGACAUAGCUACUGUAACAUCCGUGCCGGGCCAUGCCAAGCCGAGCUUUUGCAGCUCGUAGCCUGGCACGGCACGGCCCAGUACCUGUAGUCCUAUUUAGUUAAAACUUAUAGGCCUAACUAAGUCAAGCCAUAGUCAGGUUUAGCCAAACCUAAUUUAUUAGGCCUGGGAUAUGCCUGCCCUUUUAGGCCUGGCAGACCCUUGGAGCCUUGGAGGAUGGCCCCAACAGCACUUAAUGUAGUAUCCCUAGAGUUUAGCGGUUGGAGUGACUACAAUAUCUAUGGCUGUCGACACAUCUAUAGAGUGUCGGGACGAGUUUGAGUCGUUUGGCGCGAAAUUGACGUAAAAACGGACUUGGCGCAAUGCGAGAUUGGAGUUCUGCCACCGAAAUCUGCAAAUUGCAGGUUUUGAGUGUUCAGUACCGGUACCUGAGUGGAGUAUCGGUACUGGAACUGGGUACCGAUACUGCAUCGAGCUAGUACCGUCACACUGUAUUAAAACCCAACUGUCCAGCGCUCGAGUUUUAGCUGUUUAAGUGUUGGGUACCGGUACCUCAACCGAGUACCGGUACUCAAUGCGACAGUUUGAGUUGGUAAAGAGGUUUUUGGUAAUUUUGCAGCCAUGUUUAUCCCAUUUAUUCCCAACCGACCCAGCAGGAUAUACAUGUUGGAGCUUAGAGAAACAGGUAGGCUUCUCCUCUCUCUCUCUAGCUUUUUCUCCCUAGUUCUAUAGGAAUUUGAGGAUCGAUCUCAUUUUUAUUAUUCUUCUCUUUGGAGGAUUGUUCACCUCGAUUUGCUUCAGUUUGAGGCUGACCCGGUGUGGGGUUUCGUCUAUCAACUUCUAGCCGGUGUUGGACGAGCAUUUGAGGUGGGUUGAUGUUAUCCGAAACCUUCGGAGUACCUCCUAAGUAUAUGAAAUUCCAGCAUGUGUAGUUUAUGUAUAGCCAUCCGUUUAUAGUUCAAACUGUAGAUUUGCAUGUCAUAGAUGAAAUCUAAGUUUUGGAGCAUGCUUAGUUAAAUUAUGAUCAUUAUUACCUGCUGAACUGGAAUUUGACUUAGGAGAAAACUUAUUAAAUCUACAUGUAGGAUACCGAACUUCUAAAAUUAUGAAGUUAAAGUGGGAUGUAAUAUGCGGAUUUUAAUAUAAAAAUAAAUAUAAAUAAAAAUAGUGUGAGAUACUAUUUUUAUUGGACUUAUAGAUAUAAAAUAUAAGUUGGAAUGACCCGUGUUGAAAUCGGAGCGAAAACAGAAGAUUUAGAAUUUUCUGUAAGAAACGGGGUAGAUAAAUUAGCAGAAAACACACAGUGUCAGAAAAUUGUGAAAACUGGAGGAUAUGUCAGAAUUAUUUUUAUGAGGCUAGAUUUAAAGUUUCAUACCAUUCUGACACCCGUAGAGUGAGAAUAAAAUCCGACAGUCAUCUGAUAAAAAUUACAGUUCGGUACAGCUUUCGGUGACCAAACGGGGUCGAAACUGAAAACUUAAGAUAUAUUCUUACUCAGUACAUUAAACCGAGCCUACCUGUCAAAUUUGAGCGCAAACGGAUGUUCAGAAGGGCUCCAAUGACUCGAAACUGCUAAACUGCUACCCGAGGUGAAUAGUGUAAUAGUUGAGGGGCUGAUUUGUAAAAAGGGAUUUAACUCCUUUUCUUUUUCUCCUCCUCAGCCGAAUGCACACACACACACGCCACACACGCACGCAAGGAGAAGGAGAAAGAGAAAGAGAACUCUCCCUUUCUCUCUCUAAAUCUCUCCCAAAAAGAGAGAGUUUUGGUGGAGAAGGAAGCUUGGAGGAAAGUCAUCUUCUUCAUCUUCCUCAUUGGCCAUUGGAGAGCAAGCUUUGAAGGUAAGCUUCAAAACCCUUUAAUGGUAUCUCUUUGUAGUUUGGGUUUUAAGCUUCAAGAAUGGAUUUAGAGCUAAUCUAGCAUGCUAAAGAGAUGAUUGUUGCUUAAAUCAUGGAUCAAUUUAAUGAUUUCUUGCCUAGUUGUAAACCUAGGGUUCAAAAUGCAAUUUUUGGAAAUAUAAGGGUUUGAUCUCAAUUGACCCUCUGUAAACCUAAUUGAUAGGUCACUGAACGCGUUGGAAGCGACGGUUCGUCAAUUCGUUGAGCGGGUGCGACGUUCCGGCUAAAACAAGUGUUGUAGGUUCGUGUUGACCCGGGGAACCGAGGCGGCUUCCAUAAAUUGUGGGAUCGGAUUCCUAGCAUCAUGACGAAGAACCGAAGACCCUUAAUUUCCGGAUCGCGAAUCGGAGGUCGUAAGGUGGUUGCGCGUGGAUUGGGUCGAGCCGUGCGGCGUGCGCCGCGGGAGGCCGAUUGCAAGUGACGACGCGCAAUCGGAACGCUAUAAAAGGUGGGGGAUGUCCAUCCCGAAGCAACUGAGUUUCCUUUUAUGUCUAAGUUCUAUAUUUUGAUCAUAUUCCUAUAUGUUGAUAUAUUGUGCAUUAUAGAAUUAGUAGAUGAUUACAUUUCCAUUCCUUGCAUGUUACCUAGAUUGUGUAGCAUUGUGGGCUUGACACUUGAUCUUAGGUUGCAUGAAGAUUGGGUCUUGUGACAAGAAUCCUAUAGUGACAAGAAUGAUGAUGAACUUGGACAUGUAAUUGGCCUAGACGAGUGGCAUUUGGACUAGUGUAAUAAAGACACUAUAAUAUUAACGAGUGGCAUCAAAUCUAGUGUAGUGGAACACUAUGGCAUUUGAACCUAGGGAUAGUAAGAUUUUCGAUUGUCAUGUUGUACGACAUAUGCAUUUGGCAUUAGUGGCAUUUGAGGCAUUGAUUAUGCAUUUGUAUUGUGCAGCAGAGGCACAUUGACCCUGGAAUAGGUAAUCCUCUGUGAGGAUUGGAUCAUACUCACUAGUCUGUUUUGCUUGUCGUCGGUCGCUCACACGAGGCACGAGUCUCCGGAGUACUUCACUAGGAGCAGACGUAGUUGUCCGCAGACGAUCUCGGUGUCGAGUGCAACUUCUCCUCACCUAUAGAUUGAGAGUGAGUCGAGGUCGUAACCCGGAUUACCCAAGCAUAUUGGGUAAAGAAUAUGAAUGGCAUAGCAGAUUUGCAUUCAUACCUUGACGUUACAUUGAGACAUAGUAGCAUGCCGUAGAGACAUCACUAUGUAGUAGCUCAUUUCCUUAUUGUGUGAGAACAUAGUACGCAUGUUGGAUACAUCACUUAUGUGGUAGCUCAUUUUCUUAUUGUUAAACAUAGUAGCAUGGUGUGCUAAAAUUCGGAAACGACGAAAAAAAUAGAUCGACCAGAAAAUGAAUUUAAUGCAGGAAACGAAAAGAUAACGGAAAGAACCACCCGAUAUUUACCGUGGUUUCGAGCCAACGGCCUACGUACAAGGGCGAAAGACCGGAGCAAUAAUUCUAUUAAUAGUCGAAAAAGGACGGAGUAGCGAGAUAGAUCUCUAAAAGCCAAAAUAAUAGAUCCGAAAGCCGCAAAGCAAACCCAAAUAUUGACUUCAUCUCAACACCAUCGUACGGACCAACAUAUGCCUGUCGCCUUAAUUCACUUAGGCAUGUGCAUGAGCCGCGGCUCCUCCUGACGGAAUCCGCACAUGUGCAGUUAAUUUAAUUAGACUUGAGUGCUAAUUAACAAUGCGGCAUCCAAUUAGAGGCUUGCCUCUAAUUAGAGCAUGACGCACUAACGAAUGAAAUUAAUAAUGCAGUGCUCUUAAUUUGGUCGGGCUAGCUUCUUUAAUUUGGACCGUACAUGUAUAUAUAAUACAUGUCUCCUAAUUAGAGGUCUAAUCUUGAAUCUCAAUAGAAUUAUACUCCUAAUUAUAAUCAUUAGUAACCAAAUUAAUCUAAAUAAUAUCUAACCGAAUAUAGAUAUAGGGAUUUAUCCUCAAAUUUUAUAUAACUACAUACGUCAAACCAAAUAUACUAAAUGUGUAGAUGAAAUCAUAAUGUAGUAGCCUAUUUUCUUAUUGUAGAUAUAGUAGCAUGUUGUGAUACAAUCAUAUGUAUAGCUCAUUUCUUUAUUGUUGAGACAUAGAGCAUGUUGUGAUGAUACAUCACUAUUGUACUCAUGUUCCUUAUUGUUGAAACAUAGUAGCAUUGUAGAGAACACCACUAUGUAUAGCUCAUUUCCUUAAUUAGUGAACAUAGUACAUGGUUGUAUGGAUACAUCACAUAUUAGUAGCCUCAUUUUUCUUAAUGUUGAGACAUAGUAGCUGUUGUAGAUACAUCACUAUGUAGUAGCUCAUUUCCAAGCAGAUUGGGUAAAGAAUAUGAAUGGCAUAGCAGAUUUGCAUUCAUACCUUGAGUUGACAUUGAGACAUAGUAGCAUGCGUAGAGACAUCACUAUGUAGUAGCUCAUUUCUAUUGUUGUUGAAGCAUAGUAUCAUGAUUAGUAGAAUAUCAUUGCUAUGUUCAUGCAUUCCAUGAUUACAAAGGCAUAGUAGCAUGUGUAUAUUUCAUUACUAUGUAGCAGCUCUUUUCAUAUCUACCUAUCUAUCUGUUGUUUAUGCCUGCUUAGACCUAGUAGAAAGAUCGGCGGAGUUGGCGGCCGAACCCACUGGGAAUUAUAUUUUUAUAGUUCUCACCCCACUUUGUUGCAGGGCAUAGCGAGAGCGUACCGGCAGAGGACCGUGGUAAGGGCACAGCGCCCUAGUAGCUAGUAGCUUUCCUUAUGCAUUAGAGUACCCUCGUGUACAUAGAGAUGUAAAUGUAUUUGGAAGUUACUUAUGUAUUUGAAGAGCCAUUUUGUAUUAUGAGAAGAAUAUGUAUUCAUUUGGGAAGAUGAAAAUGUAAAUCAAUAUGAAAAAUGAGGUUGAAUGAAUGUAAUAGCUAGAUGUAUCUCUCUUUAUUUCAUUUGUAUGUUACUUGUGAUUCUUGCUCUUAAUUGUAUAGCACUAGUGGUGCUUCCGCGUAUCAUGUAUGUUGAAUGAAUUUCUCCUGGGCAAAUUCUUGUAUAUGAUAUUGUCGUUGAGCCUUGGGCGGACAGGGGAGGUGCUGUCCAUUCGGCGUCUAAUCAACGUGCCCGGAUCUGGCCAAAUUGGCGGGUCGCGGGGCGUGACACUACACCUGUCACCUUUCGAAAAGUUAUCAAAUUUAGUUUCAUGAGCUGACUUUUCUUGUGUAUCACCGCUGUUAGUGUAUCGUGGAUACUUGGAUUAGUGUAGGUUGAGAUGACGCUUGUGCUAAGGGGCUGAGCUCGUUUUUACAGCUGAAUUAGGCUGUUUUGUAUUGUCGGGUGCCGUCGGGGCUGACGGUGGGCCUAGAUUUCUAUAUCUUGUAUCAGAUUUUGUCGAAGGCAUGUGAGCCUUGGUUGUUAGACCAGUUUCACCCAUUUGUGUUAACUAUAGCCUGUGUGAGCCUGAUUGAGCUCGGCAGAGACACGCUUGCAUACUCGGUUGGGUCGCUCCCACGAGUGCCGCUCCGGAAUGAGGCUUUUCUUGCGUUGAUGUCGUAGCAGUCCUGUUUGGUCAGUUUCUUGGACCGGCCACCCCCGUAGGUGGUGUGCGAUGUAGUUUGGGUACAGGCUGGACUGGCCAGUUAGCGGUCUCUUAAGAUUGGGUAAGUUGUGGCUGAUUGGCAGCUAGUGAUGCAUUUCAUAUGUUUUCAGAGAGCAUGGCUUGGAUGAAGAUAGUAUAGUGGCAUUUAGCUAUAGAGUUUCUUCCAGCUAAUUUAUCUAUCAGCUUAUUACCCAUAUUGUAGACUUAAUGGGUAGGCCAUUGGGAUUGGUGACGAUACCCACUGAGGACUACUCUGCUUUUGUAGUAGUUCUCACACCCAUUAUUGUCACCUUUUAUUGCAGAGCAUUCUGCAGCUGCUGCUGUUGUUGCUAUUUCUGAUCGAGGUAAGGGAGUCACGAGCUAGAUCCCUAUCGUUUCCAAUCACCUACUAAAGGAGUUCCCCUACCAGAGGCAGUUUUGGUUGUGCCAUGUACAUACAGUAGCUUGUAGUUUUGCUCUUGGGGUUGGUUGUACUUUGAAACUUGUAUAUACAGUGGGUUUUUUUUUCUAUAUAUACAUGUUCAGUUUUAGCAGCUUUGUACUUUUGUUGUAGCUCCUAUCUGUUUGCAGGUACGGCUAUCGUUUCGUAUACACGAAAAAUUCUUAUAUAUACGGCGGAUCUAUUUGGUGAGCCGAGGAGCGUUGUAAUCUAGGGCGUGACACUUAAGCCAUUGGGUGCCUUCUUUUUUUUUGAAAGAAUAUUUUUUUAUUUUUAUUUUAAAAAAAAUGGUUAAAAAAUUAAAAUAGAUUUUUUUAAUCAAAAUGCCCUCACUGACAUUCAAAAUCUUGGCGGUUAGAGAGGGCAUUUUAGUCCAAAAUAAAAAAAAUAUUUUUAUAAUUUUUAAAAAAUUAUUUUUUUUACAUCUAUAAAUACUCCUAUAAAUCUCUAAAUCAUCACAACAAAUAAUUUUUCAUUUUUUUUCUUCUACAAACACUAAUUCUUUCUAUUCCAACACUUUCAAUCUAUAUUUUUUUUUUUCUCUCUCUAAGUUUACGUUGCAAAUAUUUUUUAUUUUUUCCAACAAAUUUUCUCUUUUACAAAGUCUCUCCACAAUCUCACUGCACAAAAUUUCAAUUUCAACACAAUAACUAAUCUCUUAUUCGUUAGUUUAAAUUUUUAAAAAUAUUUUUAUUUAAUUAUUUUCAGUAUUAUUUUUUUAUUUUUUAUAAUAAUGUCGGAUGAAUUUUUCAUAUAGAUUUUUCUUGUGUUAAUUAUACUACUGAGUAUUAUAUUAGUAUUCAAUCAGAAACUGCAGCCGGUGGCUCUACACAAGGUGACGACGGCUUAUAACUUAAACAAAAUGUAGACGCAAGUUCUAAAAAAGCGUCUAAACAAAAAACAAGUGAAAAUAUGAAAAUACUUCAAUAUCAAAAAAAUUGAAGGAUAAGACAUGCAAGUUGUUUGUAUUAUAUUUGGGGUUCAUUACUCUUGUGAUGGUUUCGAUGAAACAAAUCAUUUUAACAGGCAUAUUCAGAAAUAUCAGAUUGAAGAAGGUAAAAAGACAAAAUAGUCACAAUUUGCUUUUACUUUUUAUGGAGUUAGCACAUUUCAAUAUUCUCAUGAACGUAAUAAAAGAGAACUUAUAUUAUAUAUUGUAGGAGCUGAGCAACCAUAUACAUUUGCUGAAUGACUAUAUUUUGAAUAUUAUAUGAAAAUAGCUUUGAAUCCCGCAUAUUAAAAAAUUUCUCGAAAUAUUAGUUGUAAACACUCAAUAAAAACAUUUCUUUAAUAUAGACAAAGUUUAAUUCAAUUUUAGAAAAUUUGAAUUCAAAAAUUUCACCCACUUUCGAUAUUUGAACAUUAAAAAAUGAACGUAGUUUUAUAUGUAUUACUGUACAUUGGAUUGAUUCUGAUUGGAUAUUACAAAAAAAUGAAUUAUUGGUUUUCAAGAACUUGAGUUUCGACAUGCUGGUAUUCAUAUUGCUUAAGCUAUUAAAAAUGUUUUGCAAAUUUAUAAAAUUAACAUUUUUUUUUUUUCAAUUAGUUUCGAUAAUUCUAGCAAUAAUAGAACCGUAGUUCAAAUUUUGAAAAAUAAUUUAUAUCUCAUCUUAAAUGAAAAUUUAUUUCAUAAUAAAUGUGCAUGUCAUAUUAUAAAUUUUUGUGUACAUGACAGAUUAAAAAUAAUUAAUUCAUAAAUUAAAAAAAUUAAAAGAUUGUAUUAUAUUUAUUGACAGUUCUGAUCCAAAAAAGUAAGAUUUUAAAAGUUUAUGUAGAUAAUUGGGUCAAAAGUAUAAAAAAUUUAUUUUUGAUAUUCAACACUGAAGGAAUUACACAUAUAAAAUAUUACAAUACUAUUAUCAGUAUAGAUAUAUUUUAUCUAUUUUUUGUAAUGAAAAAAUGCAAUAUAAUCCCAUAACUAAUGAAAAAUGGAACAUUGGAUAAAUUUUUAUGACUUUUUUGCAACCGUUCUAUGGACGUGUUUGGUUCGCCCCUUUUUCACCUUGUAAUUGGAAUCGGAAUGGACGAAUUCAUUUGUUCGUGUUUGGUAUGUGGGAUCCGGUCGGAAUAAAUUUGUUCGGAUUAAGGGCGUGUUUGGUUCGAAGUCGGAGUCAAAAUCAGAAUCGGAAUCAAAAUAAGUUGGAAUAGGAAUCAUAAUGACUCAUUAACUAAUUCCGUUUGGUUCAUCACCUGAAUCGGAAUUAGAAUAAAUCAUUACCAUUGUCGGUGUUUGGUUCAGGUAGAUAUAAAAAACAUAAUCAAAUUAAUAUACUAACUUUAUCUUUAUAAUAUAUUAAUUUAAAUUCAAAUUGAAAAUUAAAUAUUAAAAAUUUACAUCAAAAUUUUAAAUCUAUUUUUUUUUAAAAAAAUUAAACUUUAAAGUUGAGUGGAUAAUUCAAAAUAUAAAACUAAAUUACUAUUUAUUCAAAUUCAAACUUAAAAUUACAAUUUGAAUCCAUAAAUUUAAUUUAAGUUUUAAAUAAAAUUUGAAUAAAACUUUAUAUAAAUUAAAAUAUAAUUUAAAUUCAAAUUCAUAGGUUAGAUUCAAAAUAUUUGAUUAAAUUUUAAUUUUUAAUUCAAAUUCAAAUUAAAAUUUAAAAUCAUAUAUUUAAUUUCUAAAUUUAAACUCAUAUUUUAAUUAAAAAAGUUGAAAAAAUAAAUUUAAUCCGAAUAAAUAUCCAUUCCGUCCGGAUUCAACUUUCAAUCCGAUCUCCUAAGCCGGAUUGGAAAAAGAGGUGAUUGAGGGAUUCUCAUUCCACUUGGGAAUCAGAAUCAGAAUGAGACUCCCGCGUACCAAACACCCACAAACGGAUUCGCCCAUUUCGAUUCCGAUUUCAUGGUGAAAAAGAAGCGACUAAACACGCCCUAAAUUUAAGUUUGUUAAACUAAUUUUUUAAUUAAAACAUAAAAUUUAAAUUUUAAUUUGAAAUUAAAUUAAAAAUUAAAAAUUCAAUCAAGUAUUUCGAAUCUAAUUUAUAAAUUUAAAUUAAAUUAAAUUUAAAAUCUAAAGUUUUAUUCAUAUUUUAUUUAAAAUUUAAAUUAAAUUUAUGGAUUCAAAUUGAAAUUUAAAUUAUAAUUUUCAGUUUGAAUUUGAAGAAAUUUAGUUUUAUAUUUUGACAUUAUUUGAAAAUUUGGACUUAAAUUUUUAAUAUUUAAUUUUCAGUUUGAAUUUAAACUAAUAUAUUAUAAAGAUAAAAUUGAGAUAUUAAUUUGAUUAUGUUUCUGAUUUCUAUUUAAACUAAGCAUCGACAAUAGGAAUGGUUCAUUCCGCUUCCGAUUCAGCUAGCGAACCAAAUAGAAUGAGGUAAUGAAUCAUUCUGAUUCCGUUUCCAGCUUAUUCUUAUUAUGAUUCUGACACCGAUUCCGACUUCAAACCAAACACACCCUAUGAGUCAACCAAACUUUUGUCAGGUGUGUAUUAUCAUAUUUUAUGCACUUUUUUUAAUCAGAUUUUACUUAUGAGUAAUCAUUUUACUGAAUAUAAAAAUUCUCCUAUUUUAGCUCAAAUUAUUUUUAUGAUAAAAAAUUUAAAUUUAAAGAAUAUUGGGAAGAAAUUCCUACUGUACCUCUUUUGGCCACUAUAAUGGAUCCUAAAAUUAAAUUAAAUGGAGUAGAAAUUGAUCUUAUAAAUUAUAAUGAAUUUUUGGAAAUUAAUUCAACAAAUUAUUCUGAUAGGAAAAAUAUUUUUCAAAUAGUAAAUUGUUGCUUAUGUGAAAUAUAUAGUAUUUAUGCAAUUGUUUCCGGUAAUAAGCGACCAUAUUCUUCACAGUUACAAAGCAGCAGCAGUAGUAAUGGUAAAAUUAGUAAAAAUAUGAUUUUAUCUUUGUUAAGAAAACAAAAAAAGAAUUCUAAUGUACCUUCUUUUAAUGAACUCUAAUUUUACUUGUAAGCUGAUUUUUCAAAUUUUUUUUAACGAAGAUGAAUCAGAUAAAUUAGAUAUUUUAACAUGAUGGAAAAUAUAUGAAAAUACAUAUCCCGUAUUUUCUGUCAUGACACGUGAUCUAUUGUCACACCCCAAUAAUCCCACAUCGGAUAUGAAUGGGGCUGUGAUUGGGUAUAUAAAAGACUUAUAUAUUAGUAAUAAUAACUUGGUUUAAGCAUUUUGGGCCGGUGUUUCGGCCAAACGAGUUAUUGUUGCUAGUGGGCUGAAUCGUUACAUUUGGUAUUAGAGCCAGUUCACCAGCCGAAAAUAUGUGGCGACUCGUGAUCUUGGGCUGUGUGUGUGAUGGUCUUAACGGAAUAAUCCCACAAUAGACACUAGUAAUAAUAACUGGCUUAAGUAUUUUGAGCUGGAAUAAUCCCACAAUAGACACUAGUAAUAAUAACUGGGCUUAAGUAUUUUGAGCCACGGAAUAAUCCCACAAUAGACACUAGUAAUAAUUACUGGGGUUAAGUAUUUUUAGCCGGUGUUUGGGCCCAAUAACUAGAAUUAAGAGUGCAAGACAAUUGAGAUUAUGAGUCUACAUUUUUAGAUGAAACAGAAUCAACUAUCUAAAAUUACACCAACGCUUGCGUCUUGCUAGAGUGCAAUCUCUUUGAUCUCAUCGCUGUCGCCUAUUAUUCGUUACGCCUCUCCUUUUUUAUUUGGUAUCUUUCUUUAGUAGGCAUCUCUUUUUUUAAGUUAAAAAAAAUGAUGUAAUGAAGAAAAAAUUAUGUUGGUUUUUUUUUUUAUACUUUCCUCCAAUGUAAUUAUGUAAUAUGAUUAAUUCAAAAUUUAUAUUUUUUUUUAGUAAAAUUACGAAAAAAAGUAAUAUUAAUUUNCCUAUUAUUUGCUAGUUGGUUGUAUAAACAAUACCAUUUUAUUUUAGAUAUAUUUUUGAUUUUUUAAAUUUUUAUACUUUCCUCCAAUGUAAUUAUGUAAUAUGAUUAAUUCAAAAUUUAUAUUUUUUUUUUAGUAAAAUUACGAAAAAAAGUAAUAUUAAUUUUAUAUUAAAGUUGGUUAUUGGAUCAAACAAAUGUAAAUUAAAACAUUUAUAUUGAAAGUGAAAAUUAUUUAUCUCUAAACGUUAAAUUUUAUAUAAUAUUAAUUAACAAUAUUAAAAAAUUAAAUUUAUUGUUAGUGUUUAAUUUUUAAAAAAUUUAUAAAAUUUUUAAAAGAGUUUUAAAAAAAUUGGGUAUAAUUGUGUAAAUUAAAAAAGCUAUAAUUUAAAAACUAUUUGUCACUUUUUCUUAAAAAAUAAUUUUUAAAAAAAUACAAAAAAGGACGAUUGUGAAGAAAUGAAAAAAAAAACUUAUUACUGGGCUGGCAUGAAAUCCGGCCCGGCUCAGCCCGGAUCGACGCGACCCGUGCCGGGCGGGCCAGGGGGCCGAGCUGGGCCUUCCCCUCUAAGUAAACGAGCCGGCACGGUCUGGCCUGCAUUUGUAACCGGAUAGACCGGGCCUACCCUCCGCUUGAAUCGGCCCGGGUAAUAUAGGCCAUGCAAGUCCGGCCCACAUUACACCCCUACUUGCGUAGUCCCUGCCAGUUAUUCCUCUUCUCCCUGUGCUCUUUCUAUUAAUUACGAGUCAACACCGUCAAACUCAAAGGCCCACUCCCUGUAAUCCUCCCAAGGUUUUUUUUUCCCUUCUCUCUUUCUCUUCGCGAGGAACCUUAACCAUUGCAAUUCGCUUCCUUUCCAGCUGUUUUCAUAUUCAGCCCCUUUCUCACUACUCUCUCUGAGGGGCCUGAGCUACUAAUACACGACCCCUCAAAUCAAAAACCACCCUUUUGGUUAUCUUUGACCCUAUUCCUCUUUUUAUGGGUUUUCUUUCUUCGGCGUUCGAUGUUCCUGCUGGGCCGUAAAGACGGCGGCGUCCUGCGGUCGAGGAGCCGCGAGAUGAGCUCCAAGCAGCAGCAGCAGCAGCAGCAGCAGCAGGGCCGGGCGCCGCGGCUGGAGCGGCGCAACGCGGCGAAGCACGUCGACUACGAGGCCGCGGGCGGCGGCGCGCCUUGCUGGCUGUCGUCGUCGUCGUCGUCCUCGUCGUCGUCGUUCUCCUCGGGCGAACCGGUCGGCCUCCGCGCCACCCGGUCGCUGGACCUCGUCCCCUCCUCCUCCUCCUCCUCCUCCACUUCGGCUUUCUACUCCAACCAGACCAGCUUCCGCAUCGGCGGCAGCAUCGAGGGCGAGGUCGACCUCCUCUGCCGCACCCUUGGGCUGUCUGGACCCGACGACUUCGCUAUCCCGGUCGCCGCUUGGGAGGCCCGCAAGGCCCGAUCCAACUCCGACCUCCUCCCGCGGCCGCGGCUUCUGCAGACGGACGACGGCCCCUCUGCCCUGCAAGCAGAUACCUCGUUCGCCCCACGGAACAAUGUUGAGGCCGAAGUAGACCACCGGUGCCAGCAGCGGCGGAACGUAAAUGUUGAGUUUUCUCACCUGAAAGAUGAGUCCGAGGAUAAAGCCGAGGCUGGAGUUUCUUCUUCGUCAGAGAGUAAACCUACAGUUGAGGUCUCUUGCUUGCCUUCACCCAGGAGAGAAGGCGGCGCAGAUGGUGGAAUUAGAGGUGUCCGGCCGCCCCUCCUUGCCACUCCCCAAGCGACUGCUUCCCCUCCAUUCCCUUCGGUGCUUGCGCUGCCGCCUGUGAUGUCCCUUCCUCCCGUCGAGAAUGUAGGCUCAACUUGGGAUAUUCUGAGAUUAUUUGCUCCCCAGGAUGAGAAGGAUGGUGCGGUGGGAGAAGGGAGGAGAAGAUCUUUUGAUUCGGCCGAGGAUGAGGAGGAGAAUAGGAAUUCUGGAAAUCUAAGCGGAGAAGGAGCAACAGUUGAAGGGGAGGAGGAGUUGAUCAGGGGACUGAGGGUGGGGGAGACCUCGGAGGGAUACACGGGGACGUCCUCGUUGUCCACGUUGAACGAUGAUGAUGCAUCUAGCACGACGACUGAGACGACAUUCACUGUCUCGCCUAAUGGCCUGAUCAAGAGGCGGAUCAGGUCGUGGAUACGAGGUACGCUUCUUGGGAGCGGCUCGUUUGGGACUGUGUAUGAAGCAAUCAGCGAGUAAGUAGUGAUAGUAGUUUAUUUUUGUUUCUCAAUUACUAACGGUUGCUUGUCUCGUUAAAAUGACAUAUUUUUUCUUUUUUUAUGUCGAAUCAUAUCUGAAUGUUUCAAAUCUCUCAUGUUUAUGUUUAUGAAGUGAUAGUAGAUACUAGCAUUGUUCCUGAACAGUUUUGUGAAUAUUCUAUGGACGAACCAUAUCAGAGUGUGUAGCUUUCCAUAAUAGAGUGCACAUGUCUGCAAUAUGCGCUAAAAAAUUGGAAUUAUCCUCGACAGGCCCAUUUGAAGGCCUGUCGCCACUUCAUCUUACCUCCGAACCAUAAAUGGGGCACUGCAACUUUUUGGUAGGUCAUUGGUGCUCAAUCUCGCCCUGUGGACACACCUGGCAUGUGCUACAUGGGGAGCAGCAUCUUGCUUCACUUUGGGCCAAUACUAGGGCGUUUUGAAGCCCCGGUACAUCCCAUCUCUCCUCAAAUGGUUAGUGUAGUAUGGCUGGCGAGCUUCGUAGAUCAUUUCUCACCGAACUCCGGGUCAUGUGGCAUACAAUGCUAUCCUUUCGUCAUGGCGCCCUAUCAACCCUUCAAACAGUUGUCUGUGGUGAUAUCUUGUUCACUUAGUGCAAUCUCCUUGAUUGGUGUGGGUUGGGCUAACCAUAACCGCAAAACUUUGCCACAAUACUCAUCGGCACAAUCAUUAAUUCAAGUCGACACAUCACUAUAAGCCACACAGCCUUCUCUUGACACUAGGAGAACGAGGGCUUUCAUCUUUAUUAAUUGCUGCUUAAUGUUUCUUGCUCUAGGCAAUUUGACCCCUUUAUUAGUCUACUAGGUGGAGGGAAGAACUAUGGGGGGAGAAGCCCUUAUCACUCGGCUUCAUUUCCAACUCGUGUAUCCCAACCAUCAUCAAUCCCAUUGACCGACUCGUAGUUCGGUCCUAGUUUACGUUGUUGCCGCAUGGGUCCGGCUUCCUCUUCCAUCACCCAUGGUCGUGCUUUGCAUCCAUCACCCACUAUAGAUGAGGUUGAAGCAUCAAUAUCCACUUGAUUAAAAAUUGCCAAAACUCCGCAACUACUGGCCCUGACGCCAAGUCAAGGCCCACGCUUGCUUCUGCAGAUCUGUCAUCUCGGUCUUAAUAGAGGACUCCACACCCUCGUGGAAUCUAGAUCGCAAACAUCAGAGGGCUACCGAGUCCUCCACGACAUACAUCUCACAAGAUUAUCCAUUAAGAUUAACCGGAGGGAAACCACUCAUGAGUGCCUAAAAGAACCAUUUGAUCGAACUCUAUAUGAUACACACAAUCUCGACCCAAUUAGGCUUGCAGGUACUUCUUCCUAGCCUUCAACAUCACGUUGUUUGCAGCCAACGUGACUAUCAGAAGAAGAGAAGAAGCAAUCCGUUUUGAUCGAUCUCCAAUAUGCUACUGAACCAAUAACUCAACAAACUUAACCCAAUUAAUUCCAUUUUCGCCACAAUUCAUAAGUUUGCGUUUUUUCAUGCCCAUAGGUCCUUAUGGUCAUUCAUUAUGCUUAAGGUUUUCUAGAUCAACCUGGAGACAAUUUUCUAGGCUUUGAUGCCUCGGGACCAUAACGGAAGCCUAUCGGGGUCCGCGCACAGAUCCCCCACACGGAAAGAGUUUGCCCUGUCCGCACAAAGCAUCCACAAAAGCUAUACAUUAAAUUCCACAAAAUUUGCGUUUUGUGGUAGGCAUCUCAUGAGCAUAUAAAUAACUGCUGUUGUAAAAUUUCUUUUCUUUACAACUUUGCUUUUUACACCAUUUUUCCGCUAAUAAAUACAUCACGUAAAAGUUUCAUCUUCCAAAAGUAAACUUUGCAUCAAAAUAGAUCUUUAUAAUACAUUUGUUUCUCUCUAAGAAAUAUUAUGAGUGCAUCUUGCAUGGGUACAACUUUCUAGCAAAGUCAAGUCGACAACUUUCUAUCACGCGACACCUUUUUAUCUAUCUUGUGCAUCCAUAGUGCAUGGACCUGCAAAUUGGGGGUGAGAUCGAAUAAUUCCUAAUGGGUAAGGCCGCCGAGCAAGGCGUUCCGCCCCACCAGGUCUAAAGGAGGCAUAAUAAUAUUAAGAAGGUUGCUACCCGAGGUCCCAAGUUCAAAGCCUAGUUGCUUUAGAUUUCUGGCUUAGUUCAUUUUUUUAAAAAAUGAAUGAAGCGGGUAAUAUGCUGCCUCUCUAUCUCUAAAAAAAAAUAAUAUUAAGAUGGUUAGUAUAAUAAUAAUAAUGAAAUCCAUAAUAGCAAGAAAGGAAAUGCUAUCAGUAAACAACAAGAAAUAAUAACCAUUACUAUGCCUCUAGAAAUAAUUAAUCGUACCUCAAUAGGUUUAUACAUUUCAGCUUAUGCAUCAAGUUCCUACCAUUCUAGUUAACCAACUCGAUUUACCUAAUUGAUGAGGACUGAAUGCCUGAUUCGUCUAAAGAGUGCUCAAAACUCUCGUCCUAAAGGUAGCUAGAAUCACUGAGUUCACCUAGGGCAUGUUGCGCCGGAAUCUCUGAGCGCCCACUCACCCGGGGCCAUGCGGUGUCGGAAUCGUUGCGCUCCUGCACUAUGGUUUAUAUCUCCAAAGGGACCGACUUGUGGGGUCGUGACCCCCAACGAGCUAAGCUCAGCAAGCUAAUGGCCUCUACGAGCAUCGAUCACAUGUACAUGCUCUAAGGUUCAUGGUUCGAUAACACCAUUGUCCAAGAAUUGACUUGAUCAAUCAAUGUUCGGUUCAAUGACACUAUGUCCAAUGAUCAUCUUGACCAAUUGAUGUUAUCAAUCUAUGUUUGAUGGCACUAUGUUUCAACAACUAGGUCCUCAUGUGAGAAUUGUCAUAACCCAAUCAAGGUUCACAACAUAGGUUUAUGAGUUCAUAAUUAUGCAUCAUGAUGUUAGGUUCACCAAUCAAGAGUUUGGUCGCUACAUGACCUACUGUCAAGUUCACCAAUCAUAGUAUCCCUCAUUUCUAUACAAGCAUAUCUAAUAUUUCAUGGCUUAUACAAGCAUAUCUAAUAAUAGCUACUUUGAAGAGUAGAGAUGUAUUGACCAUACAAUUGUAAGAACAUGCAUAUUUUAUGAAAAGCUAUCAUAUUACACAUAAGGGGUUCUCACAAAAAGGGGAUAUGUUAGACAUGAAAAGAGGUCUACCACUUCGGAUAGCACAACCUACCUCUGUUCUACGUGUAAUCGUCCAAGUCCAGUGUCCAAUUGUGCAAAAUGCCACCAAAGUCACCUUGGUUGGCGAUCAGGCAUUGUAAUGUCGAAGUUCUGCUGAUCUUUGUUCUUGAGUGUGUUACUCAACCUUACAAUUGCGGUUUCCAAGGAUUAUUUCAUUCGAAAACACUUAGGGACAAAACCUCCAUUUCUAACCCUGGACUCACUAUUUACAUGAAAUUUCUUCAAGAACUCAUGUAAAUCUUGCUAUUUUUCCAAAAUUCUUACUAUGGAAUUCAUAAGGUGUCAUAAGAAAACCUAUUUUCCAUGUUUGCCCCAAAUCCUUACUUUAAAUCACAAGAAACUCACCUUAGCUUCUUGCUCCUUUGGUCUUGUUUGGACAAAGCUUGCUUCCUCCAUGAGAAAGCUCUUUUGAGCUUAAAUCCUCUCAAAAUCUCCAAGGUGGGGGAGAGAUUGCUAGGGAGAGGAGAUUAGGGUUUGAGAGAGAGAGACAUUUUCUUUGUGGAGAAGAGAGUGGGGAAGGAGUUGGGACUGUAGGGUUACUUAUAGAGGUGUAAUGAUAGCCGUUGGAGCCCUCAAAUAAGAGAAAUUGCAAUCCAUUGCAGUUUUAGCCCGAAACAAGGUGAGUACCCGUGCUCCAUUACUAGUACCAGUAGUUGGAAAUUCCUCAGGAAGUUCCUCAAAAACAGAAACUCCAAAUACUAAAAUUUACUGUCGGGUACUGGUGCUCAAUUCCCAGUACUGGUACUCGAAAGUUCCUCAAAGACAAUAGCUUUUCCUCAACUCUCUUUAGAGCAAGCUCCGCUAUUCCAUAAUUAGUUCCGAAACUGCACAUGGGAAAACCCUGUACAAGUGACUUCGAAACUCCGUUUUGAAGUCCAUUUCAAUCCAAAUCGAUUCCCAACUGCCCUAGUUCCUCAACUCGACAUCCUAGUUUUCAACUUGAUAGUUCGGCAGCACUUGCUAAUCUUGUUCCGAAACUUCCGUAUUCGCACCGUUUUCAUUCCGAAUUAAUUCCAAAACAAUCUAAAUACCUCCAAGGUCUCCCAGACCAUAACUAAUGGUGUUCCAAACUACUUUAGAUGCAACCUGUAGCCUCCAAUUCACCUGUUUUACUGAAGUUCAGCGGAUUUUACCGAAAUUCUCUUCUUUUUCUUCUUUUUUUAUUAAUCCCAAUUCUUUCUAGCUCUUGACAACUCAUUCAAAACUCUUCUAGACUCUUUCAAAUAGUAUCAUGCACUACUUUUAUCAACACAGCCACCUUUGGGCAAAGUUCAGUACAUUAUGCUGAAUUUCAAUAUAUUACAUUAAAAAUAGUUAAUGUUGUUAUAAAAAAUGAAAAUUUAUAUAAAAAAUAAGUUUUUUAGAAUCUAACCCCACAUAUUGUAUCGUAAUAUUCUUUAGAAUUUCUGUAUCAUGUCAUAUCCCUAUCCCAUAUCCGUAUGCGUGCAACAUAGGCCAAAAAUGACUAGUCUAAUAGAUGUAAAAGUUCCUUAAGGAUGUCAACAAUUUCUUGAAAUCUAUUCGUCUUAUUUAUCACAACUAGUGUAGUAACCCGCGCGUUGCGGCAGAUAGAUACUACUAAAAUAAAUUUAAUAUCUAACUAAUAUAUCAAAAAUUUGCUAUUAUUUUAAAAAUCAAAAUAGUCCAAACAUAUUGGCUUCUUGCAAAAGUAUGUUAAUCUGCUGAAGAUUAGUAACAAAAUGUUCAUAGAAAGAUAAUAAGUAUGUCAAUCUAUUUAUCCAAAAAGUGACAUACUAUUUGGGGGAGAUUUAGAUAAAAAAUUCAAUAAAAAUUAACAUUUUAUAAAUCAAAACAAUCAAAGGGUUUAACUUUUUUUGUAUAAGCUAUAUAUUCAUCCCUUCAUUUUCUAUAUAAGUUAUGAUACUUAUCCCUUCAAGAAAAUGAAGGCCUUUUUAGAUCAUAUAUCAAUCUAAUAUUGUAAACAUCCUUAUAUCAGUUAAUAAAAAGAGUCAUGAAAGUAGAAAAGAGUAAGCAUAUGAAAAGUUAUACAAUAAAUUUUUAAGAGACAAAAAGAUAUACAAUCUAACACAACCUAAUAUAGCAAAUAUAAUACAAAAUUUUACUUUUAAAAAAAAAUAUAAAAAAACAAAGAAUAGAAAAAGAAAAAGUAACAAACCUUUAACACAACAAACACAUCAGUUCGAAUACCAUGCAAAUAAAAAGAACUUGAAAAAACUGAAUAAAACUACCUAAGAAAUUUCAAUACUACAAUAUAAAGAAUAUGUAAAUCUUUUAAAAGAGCUCCUGAAAUUUGGACUAAGGUUCGAUUUGAUGAAGAUGGCAAUGCCAAGUUCUGUAAUGCAGCAUGCAAACUCAUCCUCCGUCCACAGCACGUGCUCGAUCUUGGCCUCGGAGCCUAUGGAUGAGGAAGAGAAAAUAGAGAAGAGAAGGGGGCUUUUGCGUAGGUUUCUACGAUUUACGGUUUAGAUUAGAGUUAAGAUGGGUGGACUAUUAAUUAGACGUUAUGUACGGAGGGAAGGCAAAGGUUGGGUUAAGGUGGGUGGACCAUUAAUUUGACAUUAUAUGCGGAGGGAAGGCGAAGGGUUGGAUUAAGGCAGGUGGACCAUUAAUUAGACGUUAUGGGUGGAGGGAAGACGAAGAGGGUUUCGCAAUGUGAAGCCCAAAAGUAAAGAAAACACAGCCACGUGGCAUUUCUUUGGGGGAUUAAAGUAUAGGUAUAGAUAUGAUGAUUACAGGGACAUUUCUUUUGCUAUUUCUUCCACUGUAGUUUUGGCCUCAUGCAUAAAAUAAAGGAUGCUUGGUCUGCAAUAAGAAUGAGUUUUCGAUUUGAUACUUUUGACAUAGAAAACCAAACAUAGCCAAUUUCCCACUCCAUAUUUUUCAAAGAAAUAGCUUUAGUAUAUCUGAAGGGGACAGCCAUAAGAAGGGCUAUUUUUAAUUUGGGUUGAAAAUUCUGGAUUGUGAGUCGUGACUGCUUUCAUAUAGACCAAUUGUGUCUUGACAAGUUGCAUCAAGAAGUUUUAACUGGAGAUGUUUACGACUGCCUAACAACUUUAGGUGAAUCUAAGAGACUGACUAAUUCAGACCGGCUCCAAAUCAGUCUUAGGGUUGGGUCUUUAUUUUUCAUUUUAACCUACAUUUGUAUUUAGGUUCUUAAGGAUUUAGGUUGUAGAGUUUUAUAUUACAACAUCAUUCUAAGUUUUUUGGCCUAUUUGAGACAGUGGUUAAGUGCAGGGUAGACUUGAUGCAACUUUUUCUCACGGGGGUAAUUGAGGCAUGGGAUACAGUGGAAAGGUGGCAUUUGUAAUUUAGCCUAAAAUAUAGAAGUAUUACUCAUGGCCCAAAAAUUUUUAUGUGCCAUCAGAUUUAUAAAUAUUAAAAUGUAGAUGAAUGUUUUGCAAAGGUCAAACCUGAGCAAAAUUCCAUUAACCACUCAUUAGCAACUUUUUGCAGGCUUCUAAAUACUCUUGCCUCUUCUUUUUUGUCUAUUCUUCUACUUAAUUGAGCAUGUGAUAUAAUAUGUUGCAUGUAAAUUGCAUGUCAGGUCCAAAUGUGGCCACAUAAAGAAAUUCUGCCCGGAUGUAUUGCGGUGCUCCUUAGGCACCGCCAUUAGACAUGACUCUUCUUAGAAGUAAUGUAUAUGUGUACAUAUGGAUGUAUGUAUACAGUGAGACAGUCAUCUUACUUAACAAGGUUAAAUCCGAAGAUUUCAUACACAAUUUGUCAGUAUAUUCAGUACAACAGCAGAUCUACUUGAUGUGGGCGCACAUGCAUAAAUUAAUUGCUUAUAUUUGGAAAUGAAAAUAAUCAUCUGCUUAACCGCCUAUAAUGGACUAUUUUUCUCUUGUUUCUGUAGCACUCUUGUAUUAGCUUAGGCAUUGAUUAGGCAAUGAUUAAUACUUAUUACUUUGUAUGUAUGUUGCUUAUUUUUGAUAUCUUGCAGCGAGGGUGUUUUUUUUGCUGUUAAAGAAGUAUCUCUAAUUGACCAAGGAACCAAUGCUCAACAAUGUAUUCUUCAACUUGAGCAGGUGAUUAAUGCCAUAUCUUGUUCUUUUACUUUCAGUGUCUUAUCCAUCAUAUUCAUAGCAUGUAGCUUAAUUUUUCUCAAUCUAGUUUGGUGCUUUUCUAAUUCAUUAUUUCAAUGGAAAGUCCAAAAGUUUCUGCUUUGUGUGCUCUGCUUACUUCUAACUGCUACAUAAUCUUUUCAGGAGGUUGCGCUCUUAAGUCAGUUUGAGCAUGAAAAUAUAGUUCAAUAUUAUGGAACUGACAAGGUAUUUCUUACAAUUCAACUUGUUUAACUUUGUGCUUAAUCAGUCUAGUUAACUUGCUAACACGAUGCCAUAAAAAAGUUCAAUUCUAAUGCUGAUGAUCCUUUCCGUUUAUUACUGCGAGUUGUAGCUAUGCUUUUCAUACAAGGUUUAUGUUCACUAGUAAUCUAAAAUCCCCUUGUUGGUACGACAUCUUGGUCUCUUCAGUAGGGAAAUAUUUAGUUUGUCUAUUUACAUUAGCAUUCAUGCAAAGAUCUGAAUUUAAAAUGUUGUUUAUAAACUUGAUUUAUUACCUGUAUACCCUGAUACUUGAAAGAAUGCUCCUAUCUGUAAAAAGGUAAUAGAAAACCAACUUCCAUGAAUUGCAUGCCCCUUCCUUAGGAUAGGUUAUUUUUCUAUAAAAUUGCACUUUGGGAGACUUGUUGAAAUCCAGAUUUACAUGGUUAUGUAGGUAUUAAUGGUUUUGCAGAGCUAUAUAUGUAGAAACUUCUAAAUAGUGCUAGUGCCUCUCUGUGCUUACUUUCUAUAUGCUAUUUCUUAUUUUAUGAAUUGGAUUGCAGGAAGAAACAAAGCUUUUCAUCUUCCUUGAACUUGUUACACAAGGCUCUCUUGCAUCCUUGUACCAAAAGUAUCAUCUGCGAGACACACAAGUCUCUGCUUAUACUAGGCAGAUUCUCAAUGGAUUGGUAUAUCUGCAUGAGCGAAGUGUGGUCCACAGGUGAUUCAGCUACUAUGUCCGCAUGGCCAUUUUGUAUUUGUUCAGUUGUUAGAUUUUGGCGAUAAUAAUCGUUAUUAUAAUUGUAUUGCUCUAUUGCCAGCAAUAGAUGAUCUCGAAUUUAUGCGUAAAAUUGUUGCCAUUGAGUAGUAUUAGCAAAAAGAGAAGGAUGGCCUGAAACCACUAAAAGAAUAACAAAUAUAUAUCACUUAUUUUAUCAUUGGCAUUGUAUUAAAGCUAGUUCUAGUACAAGAAUAGUCAUUUGGCCAUUAAGAACUGGAUGUUGGGUCUCAAUGAAACAGAGGUUUAGAGCUUCUAAUUAGAGCAAGAAUAUGAAAUUGGCUUUUCAACUUGAAAAGCGGAAGCUUCAAGUUGAAUGUUUGGGAAGUUUAACAAGCAGUUCUUAGGGCUUCUUUGAAUAGCUUUACUUAAACAACACCUUUGUAGAAUCUCUAAGUGGGCCAAACAAGUUCACAGUGUGUCAAUAUGGCCAGUUAUAUUCCUGUUGCUCAGUUACAGCAUAGCAACACAGUAGAAGAUUAAAGUAAGUGUGAUAUGGCAUGAUAUUCUCUUAAGCUAUCAAACUAGUAGAUAAUGAACUAUAGCAAAUUGAAAUUUUAUAUAUGCAUAUGCAUACAGCCGCAAAAGAAAAUGUUUUCACCGUAGCUUUUGUAGUCAUUCUUGUUCACAAGGUUACACAAGUUUUAUAGUUUUAUUGAUUCAAUAUGGGUAUUGGUAUUGGUAUUCCUGCUGCUGGGCCCCACAGUACACACAGAAAUUUAAAUGUUAUAUGACUUAAAACUAGGUCUAGGUCAAGUUAUCAGACUAAUAGACACCGAGCCAUAACACAAUGAAGUUAGAUUUAUCCAAAACAAUGCAACCACAAAGGAAGAAACAGUAUUUGCAUUAGCUAUUGCAGUCAUUCUUGUUCGCAAGAUUAGACACUCCGUUUUACUGUUUCACUAAUUAAUACUUUGUUGAUGCAUAGUUCAUAUUAUCCAUGUGAUCAAUCGGUAAUAACAUUAUUUGUUUGCUAUACAGAGAUAUCAAAUGUGCCAAUAUACUAGUUCAUGUGAAUGGAUCUGUAAAACUUGCUGAUUUUGGACUUGCUAAGGAGGUUCGUUUGAUUUCUUUUAGUUACUACACAUGGAAAAUGUACCAUAGCUUGUAAUUUAUGCGACAGUUCCAUUGCUUUCCUUUUCUCAAUUCAGAUUGACAAGAUCAAUAAUCUAAAAUCGUGCAAAGGGAGUGUCUAUUGGAUGGCGCCCGAGGUAAAGUGUCCUUCUGCAUGAUGAUUGUUGCUGCAUCAACAAUAUAUUUCUAUAUAGUGUGUAAAACUAACUUUCUUUUCCUUCUGCAUUGCUUUUCCAAAGUGGCUCAUUGAUAAAAAGAAAUAAAAUGAUUGCAUUUAUUAACUUUCAAGUAAAAAAAAAAAAAAUGAAGGAAAUUGUAUCACCAUGCUUUGAAGUAUUUUUUGGAAAAUGCCUUUCAUUAUGGGCACUCAUAGAUGCCUUUAUCGUCCUUAAUAAUACCAUUAUUCUGUGAAUAUUCUGUUAGCGAAAGAUGUAAUGAUAAAAAACGCUUUUCGCAGAUAUAGGCUUUUAAAACCAUGCUUUGUUUAAUAUUUGCAAAGGAAGCCCAUAAGUGUAGUUGAGAAAGAUGGUUUUACUCUUUCAAUUCUUUUGGAGCUAACUUUGACCUAACUAUGAGAUUUGUUAAGCUUAUGUUUAGUUUUUUGUUAAUAAUCUAUGGUCUGUAUUGUUUACGAUGAAAAUUGUCUAUGAUAGAAUUCGAAAUUCUUUUGUUUUUCUGUUUGUCUGCAAUUUGUUUUCUCUUAAAGAAGGGCAAAGAGCUUGACCCUCUAGGGUUUCAUUAAUGAAUAUAAAUAGUACAAGAUGUGUAUACAAGGCAACUUGUCUCCGCAAUAAUACAACCAAAAUAUCAUAUAACCCCUACACUAUAAAUGGACAAUAAUAUACAAUACUAUAUGCAUCGUAACAUAUAUCGUAACAUACUAAAUAUAUCCUAGCACCCCCCCGCAAGCUGAGCAUCCUUGGCACGAAUGUGAUGAUUGGUCCGCAAAGUUGAAAACCGAGAAGUGGAUAGGGGCGAAGAUGCCAGGCAACUUAUUAGAAGAGAUAUGGAUUAAAUCCAAGUCACCCGAUUGAACUCUCUCUCAAAAAGUGAGGAUCAAGUUCGAUGUACUUCGUAUGAGCAUGUGAAAUAGGAUUUGCGACAAGAUACGUAGGUGCUAAGAUUGUCACAAUAGAUGCAAAUAGAGCCGUAAGGAGACACCAAGGUCAGGAAGUAGUCGAUGGAUCCAAACUGUCUCGGCAAAUGUGUAGGCCAUAGAGUGAUACUCCGCUUCAAAAUUAGAAUGGGAAAUAAGGUUGCUUCUUAAUUGACCACGAGAUAAGAUUAGGUCCAAGAAAUAUGCAAUACUUCGAAGUGACCGGCGUGUAUCUACGCAACCAGCCUAAUUAGCAUCAGAGAAGGGAACAAGUGAAGGAUUUUCGCAUGGGAGAUAGAAACGUGAUAGGAUAGUCUCUCUCGCAUAUAAUGGAGAAAGCGUUUAACAGCUUGCGUGUGUAGCUCGCGAGGCGUAUGGACAUACUAAGCAACUAUAUUAGCAGUAUGCGAGAUAUCUGGCCUCGUGAAGGUAAGGUAUUGUAAAGCACCAACCAUCUGAUAAUAGGUGUGGGGAUCUUCAAGAGGACACCUGUCACGCCCCGAGACCGCUACCCAUUUGGUCCGGUUCGGGCGCGUCGAACAAAUGCCGAACGGAUAGCACCUCCCCUGUCCGCCCAAGGCUCAACCACGAGAUCAUGCGCAAGAAUUCGCCCAGGAACAAUUCAUUACAUUCAUAAUCCAUACAACGACAAUAGAAGCACUACAAGUGCUUAACAACAAGAUCAAGUAACACAAGUAUACAUACAAGUGCAUAGAGAGAAAAUUCUAUCUAUUACAUGACAUUCAUCCACAGUUUACAUUUUGUUUCAUCCAAAAUAUAGGUAUAAGUUCAUUCACAUCCCUCCAAAAGGCAUCUCACAACCUAUACAUCAUCUACUCUCAUAUAUAUAGGUAUCUCUAAUGCAGCAGGAGAGCUACUAAUGCUAGGGCGCUAAGCCCUUACCGCGAUCCUCGCCCGGAGCGCUCGUACUCGGCCCUGCAACAAAGUAGGGUGAGAACUAUUAUCCAUAGUUCUCAGUGGGCUCGGCCGCCGACUCCGCCGAUCUCCUCACUAGGUCCAAGUGGGCACAAGCAGAUAGAUAGAUAGAUAUGUGAAAACAGUAACGACAUAGUAAGAAAGCUAUGCUACUAUGCCCGAAUCAUAUACAAUGUAUACAUGCAUAAUGUGAUAGGUAAUCAACUAACAUGCCACUAUGUCCAAGAAGUAAUGCUAUUUACUUGUUCAUUAAAUCUCUUGGCGUAACCAAUCCUUGGCCAACUCUGAGGUUCGCCCACGACUCGCAUGCAUCUCGUAAGAUAAGGAGACUCAACUCGCUCAACAAACCCGAGACCGUCUGCGGGACCCCAUAAGGCUAUCCCCGGGACCCUAUAAGGCUAUCCCUCGUGUGACAAACUCCGGAGCGCACGCUUGUGUGGAGCGACCACCACAAGCUCAAUAGACAGUGAGUAUGAUCCAAUCCUCUCAACUCGAGGAUAUCCUAUCCACUAGGGCUAACAGUUACUCGGGAAUCCACCUAUCCCAGUGUCCAUAUGCAAGUGGUUAACUACACUAAGUUUUUGUUCAAUGACUCAUCUCUAGGGAAUCCGCCUAUCCCUAAGUUCACAUGUCAAGUGUCACUUUGCGCUAAGUUAUAUGCCACUCGUUCUGUUGUCAUUGUUAUUUAUAUGCCACUCGUUAUGUCUGUAUCAACCAUCGAGUCCAUCUCUUAUUUCAGCACUAUAGGAUUCAAUGUCGCGACCUAAUCCUUAUCUAUCCACUAUAUCAAGCAUUCAAUUCACACUAUGAUAUCAUUUAGAAAAGCAUAAGGAAAUGGCAAUGCACAUUCUAUUCUACAAUGCAUACAUGAAGAGAUGCAAGAUUCUCAAUGCACUAAGACAUAAAGAGGAGCCCGGUUGCUUCGGGAUGACACCACCCACCUUCUGGCGUUGUCACGACUCUAGGAAUGCGAUUCGGUGAUUUUACGACGUCGUCUUGGCCUCCCAGGCAGAAAGCUCGGAAGGUCCUCUUUGCCGAUAACUUUGCACCAGAUCGACGGAUUGCCGAACCGACUUCGCCUAUGCGUCAGAAAGCCUAUCAAUUAGCUUUAUGCAUGAUCAAUUUAGAUCAAAUCAUACUAUAAGGCAAAACCCUAUUUCGGAGCCCUAGCUUGCAAUCAUGCAAGAAUCCAACUCUAAAUCUCCAAACUCAUGCAUAAAGCAUCUCUUUAGCAUGCUAGAGUUCCAUUUAAACCAUUCUAGAGCUUAAAGAUCUAAACCCUAAAAAUCUACCAUGGUUGAGCUUCAAGCUUACCUCCAAAAGCUAGCUCCAAUGGUGAAGAGGAAGAAGAAGAUGAUGAAAACCCUUCUCCUUGCUUGCUUCUCCACCAAAACCCUUCUCUUCU
rnacentral:lncRNA from 1 species